rnacentral:rRNA from 1 species
ACUCAAAUGAAUAGACGGGGACUCGCACAAGCAGUGGAUUAUGUGGUUUAAUUCGAUGGUAACCGAAGAACCUCACCAGGGUUAGAAAUUCAGGUGAAGAAUGCAGAAAUGCAAACGUGCGCAAGCACUCCUGAACAGGUGAUGCAUGGCCGUCGUCAGCUCGUGGCUUGAGCUGUUCCCUUAAGUGGGGAAACGAGCGCAACCCUCGUCGUGUGUUACAAGUGUCACACGAGACCGCCCGGCCCAAUGUAUAUGAACAGAUGUUCGUAUGUAUCGGGCCGGGAGGAAGGAGAGGAUGACGCCAGGUCAGCAUGUCCCUUUGAUACCCUGGGCUACACACAUAAUACAAUGGUCGCUACAAUAGGCUGCAAUACCGUAAGGUGGAGCCAAUCCUAAAAAGCGGCCUCAGUUCGGAUAGAGGUCUGCAACUCGACCUCUUGAAGUUGGAAUUGCUAGUAAUCGCAGGUCAGCAAACUGUGGUGAAUACGUUCUCGAGUCUUGUACACACCGCCCGU